UUUAUGCGGGUUCGGGACGGGUUGGUGGGGUCGGGGCGAGUUCGCGGGCACGGGUGGGUUCUGCAUACCCCUGUGACGCACGGCCUCUUCUUUCUUCCUCUUCUCUUUUCUUUUCCCACCCGACACCAUCAUCUUCUCCCUCUCCUCUCUCCGUUCCUCCCAUUUGUUCCUUCAUCUCUUCUCUUUCUUCUUCUUUCGUCGGCAGAGAGGGAAACACCGAGAGAGACGAUCGGAAGACCGAGAAAAGCCGAGACCCGUGACCCGAUGAACCCGAAACCAACAGAGAGAUCCGAUCCUUCGGUGGGAUGUCGGAGGUCCGAUCUUCCAGCGAUUUCCGGUGGGUUGUUGAUGGGUCGACACCGUCGAAGCCAAAGGUGCGAUUUCCAGGGAUUUCCGGUGGAAUUUUCUGUGUAGAACGAAAAUCCCCUAUACUCUAAUGUUGUGAUUGCAGGUACUCCGGUGUAAUGGAUGGUUUGGAAGCAAUGUACUCUGGAUGUUAUGACCGAAGCUUGUCGUGACGGUCAUAAUUGCUGGACCACAGGUGUCCACUGUUUUAUAGGUUUUAUUUAUGGCUUGUGACGCUUGUGUCACUUGUUAUUGUAUUAACCAUUGCUGUUGUGUAAUUAAUGUGUCUGAUUUGAGGAAAGAUUUAAACAGAUAGAUGUAAUAUGGCUAUUUGGUUAUGAUUAGAUCGUUGUAGAGUUUAUAUUGU